rnacentral:rRNA from 1 species
UACGAGGGGGGCGAGCGUUGUUCGGAAUUAUUGGGCGUAAAGGGUGCGUAGGCGGCCUGACAAGUCUGAUGUGAAAGCCCUGGGCUCAACCCAGGGCCUGCAUCGGAAACUGUCGGGCUUGAGUAUGGGAGAGGUGAGUGGAAUUUCCGGUGUAGCGGUGAAAUGCGUAGAUAUCGGAAGGAACACCUGAGGCGAAAGCGGCUCACUGGACCAUUACUGACGCUGAGGCACGAAAGCUAGGGGAGCAAACAGG